AUGGAAACUUUCCAGUGCAAAAAGGUUAUUUAUAGUGGGAAAAGGCUCUUUAGAUUAUUAAGAUGAGAAAAUCAAAGUC